rnacentral:lncRNA from 1 species
UAUUCCAUCACAAUUCCAGUCACAGUGUCGUCGACAAAAAAACUAGAAUAUAAGCAUCAUUGUUACAAAUGGAACUAAUUUGUACGGCUAUGUUUGUGUGUACUCCUGCGGAGCACACUAUAUACUUCUUCCAUUAGACAAAGAAGCAAGUCAGUAUUUUUUUUUCAUAAAUUAAGUUCCACUUUAGAUGCACCAUAUUGUACUGAAAAGAAAAAGGAUUUCUAGUUCCUAAAAUUUAGAUAUGAAUAUCCAAAACUUGGGCACUCUAUAUUCAAUCUCAAGAUUUUUUUUUGUUUAAUUUAAUUUUUUUUGGCGUUGAUUAGUUGAGGACGUUACAUCCUAAAUGGGGC